AUUGAACGCUGGCGGCAGGCUUAACACAUGCAAGUCGAGCGGGGUGAUGGUGCUUGCACUAUCACUUAGCGGCGGACGGGUGAGUAAUGCUUAGGAAUCUGCCUAUUAGUGGGGGACAACAUCUCGAAAGGGAUGCUAAUACCGCAUACGUCCUACGGGAGAAAGCAGGGGAUCACUUGUGACCUUGCGCUAAUAGAUGAGCCUAAGUCGGAUUAGCUAGUUGGUGGGGUAAAGGCCUACCAAGGCGACGAUCUGUAGCGGGUCUGAGAGGAUGAUCAGGCACAAUGGGACUGAGCCACCGCCCAGACUCCUACGGGAGGCAGCAGUGGGGAAUAGUGGACAAUGGGGUAAACCCUGAUCCAGCCAUGCCGCGUGUGUGAAGAAGGCCUUAUGGUUGUAAAGCACUUUAAGCGAGGAGGAGGCUCUUUUGGUUAAUACCCAAGAUGAGUGGACGUUACUCGCAGAAUAAGCACCGGCUAACUCUGUGCCAGCCGCCGCAGUAA
rnacentral:rRNA from 1 species